GGCUGGGUCCUGCGCGGCAGGGCCUCUGAACCUGGUCAGGACCGAGAGGUAGCAGCCAUAAGGAGCAUCCCCUGGGUGUCGUAGGUUAGCCUGGUCUGA
rnacentral:SRP_RNA from 1 species